UCCGUAGGGUGCGAGCGUUAAUCGGAAUUACUGGGCUUAAAGCGUGUGUAGGCGGAUUGGUAAGUACCUUGUGAAAUCCCACGGCUCAACCGUGGAACUGCUCGGUAUACUGCCUGUCUUGUGCAACCUAGGGGCGAGCGGAACAGAUGGUGGAGCGGUGAAAUGCGUAGAUAUCAUCUGGAACGCCAAUGGUGAAAACAGCUCGCUGGGGGUUUGCAGACGCUGAGACACGAAAGCCAGGGGAGCGAACGGG
rnacentral:rRNA from 1 species